CCAGCAGCCGCGGUAAUUCCGGCUCCAAUAGCGUAUAUUAAAGUUGCUGCAGUUAAAAAGCUCGUAGUUGGAUUUCUGGGGGGUUUUUUUGGGGGAUAUGAGGGGUUAGGGUUGGCUAACACCAGCUCUUUCCAUUCUGUCUCCCUACCUCCUAUAAAUACUUCUCGAAGCCGGUGGGUGCACUUUACUGUGUGCUUGCUAGUAUGGAUUCGGGACAUUUACUUUGAAAAAAUUAGAGUGUUCAAAGCAGGCGUUGUUGCUUGAAUACAUUAGCAUGGGAUAAUGGAAUAGGACUUUGGUUCUAUUUUGUUGGUUUCUGGGACCGAAGUAAUGAUUAAUAGGGACAGUUGGGGGCAUUAGUAUUUAAUUGUCAGAGGUGAAAUUCUUGGAUUUAUGAAAGACUAACUACAGCGAAAGCAUUUGCCAAGGAUGUUUUCA
rnacentral:rRNA from 1 species